UUAUAUCUUUGUUUCCGUUAAUUACUCUUUUUUUGUCUUUGUGCCAAACAGUUCACCGUUCAGAUGCAUAAGCCAAUCAAAUUAUCAUUGGCUUAUGGAUCUAGUGCAUGCAUGUCACAUGUGCAGCAAUGACAUGGGGCAUGGUACCUCCCAUGCCUCCAAUGGCACUGGAUCUAGUCCCUUUCUGGUUACUUGAGUGUGAAUUUCACACAAUUUUGCUUGGUGCACUCCAUCUUGACUCAUGUGUUUAUUGUCUCAUUUGAAUUUUCUAUUAUCUGCAGAGUUUUUCAGCGGUAGUGGAUCUGAAUGGAAUUGGUAAAAUCAACGUCAUAGAUGCAAUGCUCUUUGUAUUUGGGAAACGAGCUAAGCAGGCAAUUCCAACGCUUAUGCUCAGGCAAAGUGUGAACAGUCCAAGGAAUAUAAAAUUCAAUGGAUAACUCUGCCGAUAUGGAUACAAGGGGCACAAAACUGCACAUUGGAGAGUAUGAGGAGGCUAGAUGAAACAAAUGUUUACCUAAGCAGCUCAAUUGGUUUUCUUCAAAAAUGGUGAAGGGAAAGUGAUAUGUAUCCUUGUCGUGGUGGCGGUGUUUUUGAAUUUGUUGUACUUCUAUGGAAUGUGUGGUGUAGUGAAUGAUUGCUUGCUUCAACGGUACUUUAGCAAUAGUCCUCUAGUAGUGGUUCGCCCUCAAAUAUAAUUACAGAAGACGCACAAGAAAAGUUAUCAGUAUAGCUGUCAGAUGUGCAAGUAGACUAUUGAUACUCGCAUCCAUUUUCCAUUUAUGGUAGAUGAAGGAAUCACCUGGCCAUAUGCGAGUGCACACAAACUCACCAAGAUUUGUACUUUCAGCAUUAUUGUAAUUAUAAUUGAAUUGAAUGAAUGAAGGAUUGUAAUUGAUUCAUUAUUGAAUGAAUGAUUGUAAUUGACUGAAUGAAUGAAUGAUUGUAACUGAAUGAAUGAA